CCUUAAAUGAUUUAUGCUAUUAACACGAAACCAACUUCCAGAUGUGCAGAAUACUCCAACAUAGAUUGUUGAGGAAUUUUUUUUAUAGCAUUUAUUAUUUUUAACUGAAAAUGAUACAUGGACUUGAAUGGUAAAAAAAAAAAUCUUAAUUUGACACUUGUCUCCUCUUACACCACUUAAGCUAUCAAUGCCAAACCAACGUCGAGAUGUUCAAACUGACCCAACAUAAAUUGAUUGGAUUUCAAAUUUGGAUCAUUUAUACUUUUUGAACUAUAACUGUUUUAAAUGUUAAUAAAAGCUCCAUAGCCUUUUUUACAUUUUAAACUAUAUGCAUUUAACAUUUACAUAAAUAACAUGGGUUCGAAUUAGAACCACAGUAAUAGUGGUGACUAUUUAAAAUGGUCUUCCUCCCAGGCCAUUUAAGCUAUAAGACCAACUGUAAACCAUUCAGGGCAUCCUAAACUUCAAAUGAUUUCAGAUCUUUAUCAAUUAUAACUAUAUAAAUGUGCAUAAAUUAGGAUAAAAUAAAUCACCAACAGUAACUCUUAAACUGUUCAAAUUAGAGACACCAAACCAACUUUCACAUGUUCAGGCUAUCCUAAUAUCCAAUUCAAUAAUGUUAAAACAUGUAUUAUAACUAUUCACAGUUGCAUAUAUUUGCAUAAAAUAACUCAACAACAGUGACUCUUGAACCGUUCAAGCUAGAGACAUCAAACUAACUUCCUCAUGUUCAGGCUAUCCUAAAUGUAAAUUCUUUAAAACUUGAAUGAACUAUAAUUCCAUGUACUGUAUGUGCAUAAAUUAGCAUAAAAUAACUCACCAACAGUAACUUUUGAAUCAUUCACACUACAGACACCAGGCAACUUUCACAUGUUCAGGCUAUCUUUACUUCAAAUUCUUAAAUAUUUUUUACAACGUUAGCUGUAUACAUUUCCAUACAUUGGCAUAAAAUAACCUACCAACAGUCACUCUUGAUCCGUUCAAGCUGGAGACACCAAACCAACUUUUACAUGUUCAGCCUAUCCUAUCCUACCAAUCAAUCGAUCAUUCACAAGCUAGCAUGCACACCACAUUUUCUUCAGGAUAUGUACUUCUCUAGUUAUUGUUGUAUUUUCACACAAGCAUCAGAUUAGACUCAGAUUAGUAAAAACAGAGUAGCCAAAGUUUAUACAUUUUAUAUAAAAUACUUUUAGCUGUGAAAAAUACAAGAGCGACAUUUCACUUCCACCAUUUUUGGUUGAAUUGUAAACAACUCGUCUUGUCCUAGUAACAUAUUGUUAUAUAUAUACACAGGUGGUAUGUCAACUUUAAUAUUGCAGAUAGACUGUGGCUUCUAUGAGCUAUGAAUGUAAUUGUCUGCAUCAUUUCCAAUCCCCCAUAUAUUUUUUGGAAAAAAA
ensembl:lncRNA